rnacentral:piRNA from 1 species
GUAGAAAGUUGCCCAGAGAACUCCCAGCCC